rnacentral:rRNA from 1 species
GAUAACGCUAGCGGCAGGCCUAACACAUGCAAGUCGAGGGGUAACAGGGGAGCUUGCUUCUGCUGACGACCGGCGCACGGGUGCGUAACGCGUAUACAAUCUGCCUUAUACUAGGGGAGAUAGCCUUUGGAAACGAAGAUUAAUACCCCAUAGUAAGUGAAGAUGGCAUCAUCAUCACUUUAAAGAUUACGGUAUAAGAUGAGUAUGCGUCCUAUUAGUUUGUUGGUAAGAGUAACGGCUUACCAAGACUACGAUAGGUAGGGGCCCUGAGAGAGGGGAUCCCCCACACUGGUACUGAGACACGGACCAGACUCCUACGGGAGAGCAGCAGUGAGGAAUAUUGGACAAUGGGCGAGAGCCUGAUCCAGCCAUGCCGCGUGCAGGAAGACGGCCCUAUGGGUUGUAAACUGCUUUUAUACAGGAAGAAACACUCCCUCGUGAGGGAGCUUGACGGUACUGUAAGAAUAAGGACCGGCUAACUCC